UCCGUAGCCGGCUUAGCAAGUCUCCUGUUAAACUCAGCGACCUAAUCGUUGAAUCGCGGGAGAUACUACUAGGCUAGGAGGCGGGAGAGGUCGACGGUACUUCUGGGGUAGGGGUGAAAUCCUAUAAUCCCGGGAGGACCACCAGUGGCGAAGGCUGUCGACUAGAACGCGCUCGACGGUGAGGGACGAAAGCUAGGGGAGCGAACAGGAUUAGAUACCCUGGUAGUCC
rnacentral:rRNA from 1 species